rnacentral:rRNA from 1 species
UACGAAGGGGGCUAGCGUUGCUCGGAAUUACUGGGCGUAAAGCGCACGUAGGCGGCUUUCUAAGUCGGGGGUGAAAUCCUGGAGCUCAACUCCAGAACUGCCUUCGAUACUGGAGAGCUCGAGUCCGGGAGAGGUGAGUGGAACUGCGAGUGUAGAGGUGAAAUUCGUAGAUAUCAGGAAGAACACCAAUGGCGAAAGCAGCUUUCUGGGACGGUACUGACGCUGAGACGCGAAAGCGUGGGGAGCGAACAGG